rnacentral:lncRNA from 1 species
UAGUCGUUACUUGGCUCGUUGUCACUCACUUUUCCUUCGUAGACUGACAUCGAUAUUGUCACAAGUUGUCCCCGUCUUUUUGGUUGCAAGUCGACUUCCUUUCCUAAACUGGCAUAGAAAUUGUUACACUGCCACGAAACCCCGUGAAAAAGGGCAAAUUCCCCAGCUGUUCACUGACCUAUCAUUACCUAUCGGGGUAAUUACUUGACUUUUCCUUUGUUUGGUCCAAUCCACUUUAUUAGGCAAUUAGCAGGUUUAACAUCCGAGAGUCUUGCAGUUCAAGCAAUAGUACAUAUCAGGAGUGGGAAGGUCUUAUUGGACAGAAAAGGGAGGUAGGACAGGUCUUAUUGGACGGAAAAGGGAGGUAGGACGUGCCCUUAAACUAGAACAUCGCUUCUUUCUAUUAUACCGGUGGCGGAGCAAUUAUGGAAUCCGCGGGGUAAUCAUAGUGAGCUAGAGGCUCCUCCACAAUAAGCAGUGUCCGUCCUAACCUUAUGGAAUUUGCAGAUGAUACACCCCUUCCUUUUAAGCGUACCGAGCAGAAGAAUGAAAGUAAGGCACUCAAUCCUUUUAUUCGGCAUCCGACUCCGAUAUUAGCAGAAGAAGAAGUUAAGGUAUUCCAAAGCUGUAAAACAAGUUAUCAGCGGUCAAAGGCAGAACCGGACCAGAACUAGUCUUUCCCUUGGCCGGAGAGCAAAUGCAAGUCCUUUCAAACUAGAGCUCCUGUCGGUCUUUAUAAUAGUAUUGAUUGCUCUAUUGCGCGGGUAUUAGCCUCAGAGGCGGCGUAAGGCAUUUCCCACAGUAAGACAUGCUCCCACUGGACGACAUGCGGAUAGAGAAGAGAAACAAAGCCCUUUCUAGGAGUCAUCCCUUGUUCACUUCUUUCCUUCUAAGAUUUUAUUCAACAGUGAUAAAGGAAAAGAGUAAGGCCAUAAAAGCAUUCAAUAGCAGCGCUUAUGCCUUCAACAAAGAGCUAAUUCCGGAACUUUAUUCUAUUUCAAUUGCAGCAGCUAGUUCCUUAGGAUUGCUAAACACUAGUCUUUCCUUCCCACCCAGAUUGCUAAACACUAGUCUUUCCUUCCCACCGGCAAUGCUAUACCUUAUCCAUUUUCCUUGACCUUCCAGCUGAGCCCCUUUCUUACGCAAAAUGCCUAUUUUCAAUCAGACUAGGCUGGGCGUUUGAUGGAAUUCAAUCAAGUGCUAGUAUUUGGAACUGCUCUAGUCAUUAUCUCUUCCUGUAAACUGAAGUGGAGUCUUUGGUCUCUUAGCCUAGCGGAAUUAAUGUAGUCUGCGGUCCCUUUGUCAAUGACCCAUGUCUUUGAGGAACUACUGUACUUGUUCCAUCCCAGAUUCUUUUUGCCCGUCUCACCAAACAAUGCUUCCCCACUUUCAAAGAAGUUGCCUAUUCCAACUGUACUGGUCUCUAUCAACUAACUAAAGCACUAAAGAGAGGUGGGGCAGGAGUCACUAAAGCACUAAAGAAAGAGAGGUGGGGCAGGAGUCACUAAAGCAUUAAAGAGAGGUGGGGCAGGAUACAUAUCUUUCUCUUUCAUAACCAAAAACGGGAUAUUCGCAUUAGCAUAAGGAGGAGAACGAAGAGAUGAGCACUUUUCAAGCAGUUUUCCUUAACGAAGUAAUCUAUGUGACCAAUGGACGUUUCAAAGAAAUAAGGGAGUCGGAGCUUUACUAUACUCCAAAUAUCGAUAUUGGUAGUUUGAGUAUAGAUUUGAGACUGGAACAUAUGCCUUCUGACUCUAUAGAUAGGACGACGUGACACGAAAUGGAUCACUUAGAACCUAUGAGAAAUUGAUAACAUUUCUCCUUUCCUUCUAAACUGCCUUUCCCGCAUCAGUCUAUAGAGUAGAUUUCCCAUCCUUGGUAAACUCUCGAGAUUGCUUUUCUUUUUAAUGUCGUCCGAGGAUCCAGUCCUGCAGGUGCUUGAAAAGGGAAUUCUCCCGAGACAUCAUUCGAGUUAGCAUCAAAGUUUGCGUAUGAGUUCGCGCAGUAAACGACAAAGGAAUUUCUUUCCUACUUCCAGAUAUUAUGAAAACUAAGCAGAGCAGGUGACUAGUCGGUUCCCCGUAGGGUAGGUCCAAACAUGGGACAACAGAAAGAUGCUCCAAUUGCCAAAGUGUCAUAGUCCGAGGCUCCGCUUGUUAUUUCGAUAGAGACCUACAGUCCGGAAGACCAGAAUGGCAUGACUUAUAUAAUAGGCAAGAGCCAACAGCAAAUACAAUUCGAGGAGCAUAAUCUGGCUCUAUCUAGAACUUAUUAUUUGGAUUCUUUUGGCUCUAUCUAGAACUUAUUAUUUGGAUUCUUUUGCUUAGUUAACGAGGUUAACGAGAAGAGGCGAAGAAAAGAAAGAAGCGCUCUAGCUAUCACUUGAUGUAUUGGUUUUGAAUCAACUCGUAAACGGGAGAAAAGAUGCUCUUAUUUCGCCAAGUCCAUAAGUACCAUAGGCAUAUACAAAGAGGAUUGACCACACUUGAUUUCAUGCAACUGUGCCUUCUCUCUCCGGUUAUCGUAUUCCUUUCUUAUAGCAGUUAGGGGGUUAGUUUCAAGCUCGUUUAUGGGAUGAUGUAUUUCGUUAGAGAACUUUGGUUUCUGCUAUGCUUAGAUACCUUGUCCAGCUACGUUACGUUAGAAGCUUCCACCUCGUGCAAACGGAUGCUUUUUCCAGAGGCAUGCCUCGGUUCAGAAAGGCUUUCGAUGUUUCCGAUGUUUUGAUCCUUCUUUUUGUUCUCUCCCGGCCCUGCUUGAAAACGGAUUGAUUCCAAUCGGGUCCAGGACAUUCGACGAAAAAGGAUGACCCAAUGCUAUGACCUUUAUCACCCCCAAAAAGGUAAAGAUCACACAUUUGGAAAUCAGCCCGCCCCUAAAUAUGUGUUCAGGAACGCUAUGUAAAUAGGGUCGCCCUCACACAGCAUCUAUUAGUGAAAUCAACAUACGUUUCAAAAAGCAUUUGGAAGCCAUAUAGCCAUUUAAGCCUUACUCCCUAUUAUCU